rnacentral:rRNA from 1 species
AACGAACGCUGGCGGCAUGCCUAACACAUGCAAGUCGAACGAGACCUUCGGGUCUAGUGGCGCACGGGUGCGUAACGCGUGGGAACCUGCCCUCAGGCUCGGAAUAACUCCCCGAAAGGGGUGCUAAUACCGGAUAAUGUCUUCGGACCAAAGAUUUAUCGCCUUUGGAUGGGCCCGCGUUGGAUUAGCUAGUUGGUAGGGUAAAAGCCUACCAAGGCGACGAUCCAUAGCUGGUCUGAGAGGAUGAUCAGCCACACUGGGACUGAGACACGGCCCAGACUCCUACGGGAGGCAGCAGUGGGGAAUAUUGGACAAUGGGCGAAAGCCUGAUCCAGCAAUGCCGCGUGUGUGAUGAAGGCCUUAGGGUUGUAAAGCUCUUUUACCCGGGAUGAUAAUGACAGUACCGGGAGAAUAAGCUCCGGCUAACUCCGUG